rnacentral:rRNA from 1 species
GACGAACGCUGGCGGUGUGCUUCACACAUGCAAGUCGAACGGGGUAGCAAUACCCAGUGGCGGACGGGUGAGUAACACGUAGGAAUCUGCCUCAGAGUGGGGAAUAACUGAUCGAAAGAUUAGCUAAUACCGCAUAUGUCGAAAGAUAAAAGGAGUAAUCCGCUUUGAGAUGAGCCUGCGUCCGAUUAGCUAGUUGGUAGGGUAAAGGCCUACCAAGGCGACGAUCGGUAGCUGGUCUGAGAGGAUGAUCAGCCACAAUGGAACUGAGACACGGUCCAUACUCCUACGGGAGGCAGCAGUGGGGAAUUUUACGCAAUGGGGGAAACCCUGACGUAGCGACACCGCGUGAGCGAAGAAGCCCUUUGGGGUGUAAAGCUCUGUCAGCAGGGACGAAUAAAUGACGGUACCUGCAGAGGAAGCAUCGGCUAACUACGUGCCAGCAGCCGCGGUAAU